rnacentral:lncRNA from 1 species
CUUCCGUCUUUGGGAGGUACGCUGGCCCUGAAAUAAGACCUCGUGUCGCAUCUGUCGUCGCUUUUGGUAAUCCGUGAAUUUUGCUAACUCCUCUCGCAUGUUUUGCAGGCUCGACUCCAGACGAUGAGGGCGAAGUGGAGGAAGAAGCGCAUGCGCAGGCUGAAGCGCAAAAGGAGGAAGAUGAGGCAGAGGUCCAAGUGAAGUCCGGGCGGAGAAGUCCGCGGCGGCCAGCCGUCCAUCCCUGGGCAGGUCCACCGCCUUCCGGACCCAGGAAAGAUCUUCUCUGCGGACCUCGGUCCAGCUCUGCACUGUUUCCGUUUCAUACGGCCUUCAAUAAAGCGUUAUGGUUUUGAGAGAAAUAUUCCUGACUCUGACGCCGCUUUGGCAGGUUUCCGCUGAUGUUUGUUUGAAUACUGAUCACGCAGAACAACGAAUAAAUUAGUUUUGUUUUAACUGCA